rnacentral:rRNA from 1 species
UACGAAGGGUGCAAGCGUUACUCGGAAUUACUGGGCGUAAAGCGUGCGUAGGUGGUUUGUUAAGUCUGAUGUGAAAGCCCUGGGCUCAACCUGGGAAUUGCAUUGGAUACUGGCAGGCUAGAGUGCGGUAGAUGGUAGUGGAAUUCCCGGUGUAGCAGUGAAAUGCGUAGAGAUCGGGAGGAACACCAGUGGCGAAGGCGACUACCUGGACCAGCACUGACACUGAGGCACGAAAGCGUGGGGAGCAAACAGG